rnacentral:rRNA from 1 species
AGAGUUUGAUCCUGGCUCAGAACGAACGCUGGUGGCGUGUUUUAUACAUGCAAGUCGAGCGAGGACAGUAGCUUGCUACUGAGCCGAGCGGCGAACGGGUGAGUAACGCGUAAGCAAUCUGCCCCACAAUCGGGAACAACCGUGCCAACGCGCGGCUAAUGCCGGAUAUUGUGUCCUACUGCAUAGUAGGUUAACGAAAGAUUUAUCGUUGUGGGAUGAGCUUGCGUCCGAUUAGCUAGUUGGCGGGGUAAUAGCCCACCAAGGCGACGAUCGGUAGCCGGCCUGAGAGGGUGAUCGGCCACAUUGGGACUGAGAUACGGCCCAGACUCCUACGGGAGGCAGCAGUAGGGAAUAUUGCGCAAUGGGGGGAACCCUGACGCAGCAACGCCACGUGUGGGAAGAAGCAUUUCGGUGUGUAAACCACUGUCGGAAAGGAAUAACGGAAGACUUCGGUCUUUAUGAAUGUACUUUUAGAGGAAGCACCGGCAAACUUCGUGCCAGCAGCCGCGGUAAUACGAGGGGUGCAAGCGUUGUUCGGAAUCACUGGGCGUAAAGGGAGCGUAGGCGGAAGUGCAAGCAAUCUGUAUAAUCCUGGGGCCCAACCCCAGUUCUGCAGAUUGGACUGUAUUUCUUGAAUAGUUCAGAGGCAAGCGGAAUUUCUGGUGUAGCGGUGGAAUGCGUAGAGAUCAGAAAGAACACCAAUGGCGAAGGCAGCUUGCUGGGGACUUAUUGACGCUGAGGCUCGAAAGUGUGGGUAGCAAACAGGAUUAGAUACCCUGGUAGUCCACACUGUAAACGAUGCAUACUGGGUGUCCGAAAUUCGUUUCGGGUACCGUAGCUAACGCGUUAAGUAUGCCGCCUGGGGAGUACGUACGCAAGUAUGAAACUCAAAGGAAUUGACGGGGGCCCGCACAAGCGGUGGAGCAUGU